rnacentral:rRNA from 1 species
UGGGGAAUUUUGGACAAUGGGCGAAAGCCUGAUCCAGCAAUGCCGCGUGUGUGAAGAAGGCCUUCGGGUUGUAAAGCACUUUUGUCCGGAAAGAAAUCCUUGGCUCUAAUACAGUCGGGGGAUGACGGUACCGGAAGAAUAAGCACCGGCUAACUACGUGCCAGCAGCCGCGGUAAUACGUAGGGUGCAAGCGUUAAUCGGAAUUACUGGACGUAAAGCGUGCGCAGGCGGUUUGCUAAGACCGAUGUGAAAUCCCCGGGCUCAACCUGGGAACUGCAUUGGUGACUGGCAGGCUAGAGUAUGGCAGAGGGGGGUAGAAUUCCACGUGUAGCAGUGAAAUGCGUAGAGAUGUGGAGGAAUACCGAUGGCGAAGGCAGCCCCCUGGGCCAAUACUGACGCUCAUGCACGAAAAGCGUGGGGAGCAAACNGGAUUAGAUACCCUGGUAGUCCACGCCCUAAACGAUGUCAACUAGUUGUUGGGGAUUCAUUUCCUUAGUAACGUAGCUAACGCGUGAAGUUGACCGCCUGGGGAGUACGGUCGCAAGAUUAAAACUCAAAGGAAUUGACGGGGUC